GGAACUAUACUAAUGGAACACCAGCUUCGAGAUUUUAUGAUCAGAGUGCCGUCGCGCAUCUUUUUUCGCGCACCAUACCAAUUUGAAAAAUCGAUGAGGAUGCCAAAGAAGAAAUUUACUCCGAGAGCCACUUGGAUUGACCUUCAUUGAGAGUAAAACUUCCCCACACUAUAUUUUAUUAGAUCUGUAAAAACUUUAUCCAUUUUCUGACUAUCUGAUAAAAUAGAUACAAUUUCCCUGAAUAAUGGAUCGUCACAAAAGAUUUUUUUUUAAGGCCACUUCAUUAAAAUAGGUGUUUCCAGUACUUCCUCAUUUGGGUAUUUUACACAAAAUCUGGAUUUUUUUUAUGUACAUGUCAUUUUUAUCAUCUGUCCCGCGCAACCAAACCAUCCACUUUUCCCGGUCACCAAUGUUCUUAACAAGAUAUCAAGAGAGAGAGGCUGGUCCAUUAUUUGCGUAGUCCAGCCAGCUUUUUUUUUUUUGACAACCUUUUUUCGUUCUCUCUCAUGAAGGAUAUGUUUUGAAAAUUAGUCUUACAAAAUACAAUUCCAAACCAACUCAUGCAGUUAUCGUCUUUUCACAGUAUUGAGGAGUCAUCCUUUUUGCUAGCCAGAGUGUUAAUUGGCAAAAGUGAAAAAUUCAUUUUCUUUAAUUUUUUAAAGUAAAUAUUCAUAACUAUAUCUUUUAUAUAAUAAUAUAUUUUUAAAAUAAUAAUCUUUUAUAUAGACAUGCUUUAAUAGAUCUAAUAAAUGAUUAACUCGGACCUACCAAUAUGGGUAUAUAAAUACUUAAAUCUGGGUAUUUAAAAUUUCGAAUGCGAAUUUAAAAAAAAACGGACUUAUAUAUUGAUCUAGAUCUCUUGUAUAAUAUCUAGAAUAAUAUAGAUCUACAACACCUAGGCCUAGACUAAAGUUAAAGACUAAGUUAUUAACAAGUAGAACCAUGGCAACCAGUUCUGAUGAUGUACCAGAAUGGCUCAAGGAUCAUACUUAUACUAUUUCUACUCUCUGGGCAUCCAUUCAAUAUUUAAUUUAUGUUUGGAAAUGCAAGAAAAAGGCAUGCAUUCCUGAAAAGUCAAUGAUUGGUUGCACCUCUUAAAGAUAACUUUCUGUUAUGAGAAAAGAUGAGAUUCUUGGACUCCUGCAUAGCACCACCAGAAAGGAAAAUCCCAUCAUGUUGCAAAAUAAAAGUCUUGGACCAAUUUUAAUUUAAGAUAUAUAUAUUAUACUGUAAGCUGUAUACAUAUUUAUGUAUAUCCUGUCAUUCAGCCAACAGGUUUGGAUUUAGUAUUUCUUUAAAUCUGUUUGAUAUUGUACUUGAAAACUAUUAAUCUGAGCCCCAUUAAAACAAGAGGGAGUGCAGUGGAUGAGUGGUAAGGGAAAUUUUACUUUUUUAAAAUUAAAAUAAGAAUCUAACAAAAGUAAACAUAUAAAAUAUGGUGCAUUCUCCUUAAAACUAAAACCUGGUGCAAAGGUUUAAAAUGUUGGCAAAAAAAAAAGCAACAUCAAUUAAAUAUUCUUAAUUCCCUUUGCAAAACUUACUGAGAAGAACAUGCAUGUUGUUCCCUCAUAAGUUUCUUGACAGAGGAAAUCUUGUUUAUAUUAGAUUUGAAUUAAGCAAAUUAAGAAAAAAAUUAUAAUCAUUAUUUCAAAUGGUUGUAUCUAAACCUUAUGAAUUAUUUUUCAGUUAUAAGUAUAUUGAAAUGAAUGGAUAAUCAUGAAAUUGUUAAAUAAUUGCUGCUAUCAUUCCAUUGACUAAAGAACCAUAAUUUUUUUUAAUUAAUUUCAAAAUUAAUUAAUUAAUUAAUUUUCAAGUAGAGUUCACAUAGAUCUUGAGUGAAAUUUUUCUUUUUUUGACUAAUGCUUCAAUUUUAUUGUAUCAUUAGUUUUUUAUUUUUAUUACCCAGAAUAUUUUAAAAAUGAGUACACUAUUUUCAUGUAAUAAUGUAACUUGGUAUUCACACAUCAAAAUACGCUAUAAUCUUUAGGCCAUAUAGAUUUGUAUAAAUAUACAUUAACUUGCUUAAAUACAUUGUAAAUGUAUAUUGUUUGGAUAAGAAUAAAGUUUUUCUGUAGACAAUUAUUGUUCAAGAUUUGUUGAUGCUCCUGCUUAAUAAAUUAUAUACACAGGUCAUUAGUUUUAACACACUACUGACACAAGAAAAACUGGUCGCCCCCACUUCCUAUUUCUACGACUGAAGGAGGCCAAUGAUGAUGAUACAGGUCAUUAGUUUUAACACGUCUGAUAAUAAAUGACAGUACAAGUUAUUGAAUGAAAAUUUGUCAUUAUUUCAGGUGCUUUAGGCCUACAUCAAUGUGAGGUACCAGUACUUUGAUUGUGUCAUAUAACAAUUUAAAGCAACAUUUUGAAAUGAAUAGUGUGUAGAAUUGACAGUAAAUACAUUUAAGUGAUGGGCUGUGAUCUGCAUGAAUUGAAUUUGUGUUUUUGAUCUUUACUUCAAGUAAAUGUUAAUGAACAAUUAAUUUUUAAUGAAUAAAUAAUUUAAAAAUAAAUACAAAGAAACCAUAAACAUCUACUUUAUUUUAAUAAUUUUUUUUCAUCAGAACAGAAUUUCCAACUUUGCAUUCUUAAAAUAAAAUAUAAUUUAUUUAGAGUAGAGUCAGAACACAAAAUCAUAGUUUUGAAAUUAAGUAAAUUAAGCUAAGCUGUGAUCUCUUAUAAACAUUUGUAUAUAGACUACA